AAUUGGAAUCAAUUGUUCAUAUCCCGGUUCUAGCUUGAACAAAACUUAAAGAACUAACUUCUGUUAAAACUACUGUGCAAUAAAUAAAUGAUAUUAAAACGCAAUUCAAAUAAGUUGUGUAUGAUUUAUAGAGUCGUAAAUUUAAAAUAUAUUAUGUUUAUGCAAUGCAAUGUAUUUGAAAAGUGCAUUUUGUUUUAUUUUAUUUAUUGCUUAUAAAGCAUACGGGUUUAUAAUGCCAAAUGCUUUGGAAACAGAGCAAACUUCCUUCUUCGGGUUCACACAUGAGGUAAGGAUUAGCUCCAGUACAAUGGAACUGGUUGAGGAGUUGGAAGAGGCACUAUUUGAACAUUCGGAAGGCGAUCGCCAGGUGAGGCGAUAUUUUGACGCCUACGACACGCCAUUUGUUGGAGAAGAGAGGAGAAAAUCUAGUUUUAAUAAUGAUUAAAUAACAACACUUA